rnacentral:lncRNA from 1 species
AGAGAUCGAAUCAAUAAAAGGUUAUCUUAGGUAUAUGGUCCAUCACAAUAUCUAAUCCUGGCUAAGUGGAUCAGUUUGUGAUGUGGGAGAGACGGGGAAUGAUCGUUUUAAAUUCCAAAACCUCACAUAAUAUUAUAAUUAGAAAACUUAAUCACCUAAUUAAUCUCCCCCUACUUGAAUCACAACCAUCAAAUUGACUACAAACCAAGGUAAUUGAAAAAAAAUAAAGGAAUAGAAAAGAU